rnacentral:rRNA from 1 species
UACUAGAGUAGCACUCGCAUAUCAUAAGCGGAGGAAAAGAAACUAACAAGGAUUCCCCUAGUAACGGCGAGUGAAGCGGGAAGAGCUCAAAUUUGAAAUCUUAAAGGGUUUCCCUUUACGAAUUGUAGUUUAAAGAAGUGUUUUCUGUUGAGGUUUUGGUAAAAGUUCUUUGGAAUAGGACAUCAUAGAGGGUGAGAAUCCCGUAUUUGACCUUUACUUCCAACUUUGUGAUACACUCUCAAAGAGUCGGAUUGUUUGGGAAUGCAGUCCAAAGUGGGUGGUAAAUUUCAUCUAAAGCUGAAUAUUGGCGAGAGACCGAUAGCGAACAAGUACCGUGAGGGAAAGAUGAAAAGAACUUUGAAAAGAGAGUUAAACAGUACGUGAAAUUGUCAAAAGGGAAGCGUUUGACACCAGUGUUGUUUUUCUGAAAAUCAAUUAAAGAACUGUUUAUGCUAAGCUGUUUAGACUUUAUCAGCUAACUGUUUAGUUUUGAGCUUUUCUUUAAUGCACUUUUCAGUUAACAAGUCAACAUCAAUUUCUUUUGCUGUAAAAAAGCUUGAGGAAGGUGGCUUGAGAUUCGUCUUAAGUGUUUAUAGCCUCUUGCCUAUGCAGUCGGAGAGAUUGAGGUCUGCAGCGUAGAUCCUUCGGGGCUAAAUGCAUUUGUGCUAAGUUAUAACAUUUUAUAGACAACUUGUUGACUAUGAUUUGUCUUGUAGCUUACUCGCUUAUGUUAUUUUACCUACGCUUAGGAUGUUGAUAUCGCGCUCUCACUG